rnacentral:rRNA from 1 species
AUUUUCCUACGGGGGGCAGCAGUGGGGAAUAUUGCACAAUGGGGGAAACCCUGAUGCAGCGACGCCGCGUGAGUGAAGAAGUAAUUCGGUAUGUAAAGCUCUAUCAGCAGGGAAGAAAAUGACGGUACCUGAGUAAGAAGCCCCGGCUAACUACGUGCCAGCAGCCGCGGUAAUACGUAGGGGGCAAGCGUUAUCCGGAUUUACUGGGUGUAAAGGGAGCGUAGACGGGGCGCCAAGUC